GCUGAAAGGGCUUGCUGUCAGGGGUCCAGGAACUCCUCUGCCUAGAAAGAAGAGCUAGCAGUGACCAACUGGGAGGGGGACAAGAGCGUGUGGCUGGAUUGGAAGUGGCCACGAAGGUCACAUCUGGCCUGGUGUCCUUACCUCCUGACACAGGGUUCUGAGUAUCACCUGUGAUCCCUGACAGCAUCCACGAGGCAGGCAAGAGAAAGAGUGCUUUGUGAAGGCCCUGAAGCAGAAUACAAACACAGAAGUGGAACUUCACGAAGAAGCUUGAUCCCAGGGCCACUGGAGUCUGAGGACCAGUGGGUGGAGAGCCACGAUAAUCCAGGAUGAACACUGAAUUCACCAUCAUUAAAUCACAACAUGAGAAGACAAUGUUGGAUAUGGAAAAAAUGACGCAGUCAAUAAGUGAUACCAUUGAGAAGUACAAGGAAUUCAUAGAAGAUAAGGAUUCCUACAGCUUCACGCACACCUACCUCCUGAAAGAAUGCAAUCAAUUGAAGGAAAAAGUAAGGAUGUUGCUGAAUGAGAACAGAAAGCUGCUGGUAGAGCAGGCUGACCAGGAAACAUCCUAUGGUGAAGAAAUGAGGUUCUGUGAUGCGACCAGCAAGAACAUACAUCCCAAAUCCUAAGCAGUAGCAGGUGUGAAAUACUCCAGUAGAAACUGGAACAUGGAACAGACCAGCACAAGGUCUCCUUUGAAAAUAAAUUCUAUAGGAGGAUCUCUGCGUGUGCAAAGCAAAUACUUCAUCUCAUCCCUAGUAAUCAUGGCUAUCAUCUGCUGCAUUUUCUUCCUUUACUUUUGUUUCCUUGCAAUGAAUAGCCCUUAAUUUCAUCUGGGCUCUGGCUCAGCAAGAGUGAGCAUGUAGAGGGAUUCAGACAUGUGCUGAGACACACCAAGAGCCGCUGGGAAAACAGGAAGAUUCUGAGAGUGUAAAUUUUUCUUGUCCUGAUAGGUCAUCAAGGAAAAUUAGAAAAUGAUUCUACAAAAUCACAAAGACUUUGAGCUAAAUUCUGUAACAUGUUUUCUGCUUAGUCUUGGGUGUCCAUAUUCUUCAAAACCAUACUCCAAAAAAGGAGACCUACUUACAUUCCUCUUGUAAAGAUUGUUACCAGAAGUAACUUAUUUUCUACUGUGUUGCCAAGGACAGCCAUGGGCUGUAAGUUUGUGCUGCUAAAUGACAGCCAAAGAAGGCUCUUUAGCACAAUUCUUGUUUUUAGAUUUUGGUUUGAGCUUUGAUUACUUUUGUUCUUUGGUUUUCUUUAGUUUCAUUAGAAGUUUUUUUCCUUGUUUGUUUCUUUGGUGUUGUUUGGUUUUGUAAUUGAUUUAAUAUUUUGAUAAGACUAUACACUGUACAUAUUGACUGCCCACUUUUAGUUACUAUUGAGUAAAUUGGAUGUAUUCUUGUGAAUAAAACGGUGAUCUCUAACUCUUCACUCUUAAGAAACUUCUUUAUUCAGGUGUGGUAUCACCCUAUUGAAAUCCCACACCUAUCAGACAAAGAUGGAUCUCUGUAAGGGGCUUGGGUUCCAUAAUGACUUCCCAGCCAGACUGAGCUACAAAAGUAAUAGAUUGUACAUUCAGUGUGUCUAGUGUGUCCAACUCUGUGGAUUCCAACUUCACGAUGGAAAAAUUAUCCAUGCUGUAUACUUGCAUGUCAAAUAUUUAGUUGCUGCUAAAAUACUGUGAAUGACAGUGUUGAACAAAUUAAUGGGAAAUAUAUCAGUAUUUCUGAAAUGUCUUUCAGGAAAUAAAAACAUAUUCUAAAAGAA